GGCUUGAGCCCCUGACCAGUUCUUCCUUCCAAGACCUAACCCUCAACCCCGACCACGCCGCCGCCGCCGCCGCCACCAACCACUCGACAGCAGCGCCGGCGUCUUCCCCGAACACAGUCGCCGCUGACCGCCUAGUUGUCGCCGAGCACCCUUCUCUACCAAGGAAGCCCUUCGCCGCUUCGUCCCCAUCCCCCGCGCACCCAGCGCCUGCUUCCUCCCGAGGAAUGCCGCCGACCGCCCUCCAUCCCCACCACAACAGCGACCUCCUCCACAGGUUUCCUCCGCCGAGCAGGCCUCCUCCUCCUCAAGCUUUCUCCCCCGAGCAGGGCCUCCUCCUCCACGAGCAUCCUUCCCCGAGCACUAAGUUGGGCCGCCUCCUGGUUCCCUCACCCGAGCAAUGGACCUUCCUGUACGGCCCCUCUCCCGAGAAGCUCCACCUCAUCUACAUCCUCCCCCAGGUGCAGCCCCGCCUCCUUGCUCACCGAGAGCACUUGGCCGGUGAGAUUUCAAUCUUUGCAAACUUCUGUUCCUUUUUUCUUCUGAGCAGUAACUAGAAUGACUUCAGAAAGUGUUUGAGUUUAUAUGACACUACAGUUCUGAAGAUAACGACUAGCUUUGUCAUCCGAUAGCCCAAGUUUUGCUUAUGGUGAAGAGAUCUUCCAUUGCAGCAAAUGGAUGCUUCGACUACAUAUUAAAUCAGUGAAUCCCAGUAGGUGUACUACAUGCAAGCUUCGGCAAAUUAAGUUUCAAGGUCGUGCUGCACAUAUAGCUAGAGAACUUCUUUCUGUCUAUUUUUUCUGCACAUGUAGACUGAAAGUGAAGUAACGCUUCUAGAGUUUAAUAAUUUUAACUAGUGAAUGUGAUAGUUUUAUGAAAAUAGAUAUAUGGGGUCUGAUCUGGAAUUUUCUUCUAUAAUUUUCUAUUGCCAGUUUGCCACUGCUCCCAGUCAUGUGACUCAGGAAUUUAAUUAUCAGUAGUUGUCUAUCAUAGUAGAAAUCCCUUCAAGUGUUGCAACCUUUAUUAUUGAAUUGAAAAACAUUUGCCUGAUAAUUUAAUUUUCUAGAGUAAAAUGAGAGCAAUUGGGUUUUGUACUGUAGCCCCUACUGGAAAUUGCAUGGCAUCAUGACUUAUUGAACUACCAGAUCCCCUGUUCUUAAAACUGUUUUUAUUUAGCUUAACGCUUAAGAACAAAUUCAACCAAAGCUAUGUUCACAGAGAUGGUAAAUAGCUUAAGAUGUGCCUGUGGUUCAGAUUUUAGAAAAGACCUACUCGCAGUGCCACGUGCAAGUAAUAUAACCCUGGUAGUAUUGUUGCUGAUAAUUAGAACGUUUGGAUGCUCGUUGUUUAGGUUCUGCGUGUAGUUUGGUAGUAGUGCUGGUGUGUGUGGCUUAGUUUCUGAUGUUUUGAGGUACCCCUGGAGAGGGACGAACUUGAGACAUGUGAUGUUUUCAGUAAUGGAAAUUGGGAGAUAUGCUCCUAAGUAGAAUUUUUUUGAGAAUUGGGUCAUGGGGCUAGCUGACUACCAUGCUCUUUUCUCCUAUAUGUAAUUCUUACAAACUGUUCCCUAAUUUUCAUUUGAUGCUUUCACUGAAAUAAUAUUUUAGAUUGUUUGUUUUGUGAGCAGUGUGCAUCUUGUUUGUCCUCUCCACCAAGCAGCGUCGACUACUCCAUACAAGCACAUAAGCUUAUGCUCUUAUGAUUAUAUAUUUACCAAUGACUAUUAUGGUUGAUAGCUUAAAAGUCUUUGCUUCUAUAUAUGCAGCUGAGAAUGACUUAUAACUUCAUGGCAAAAGCAGCAACAUGAGUAGGCAACCACAAGCAAGCUGAGGAGUUACAUAUAUGCAUAUCUUAUGCUCAUUUGCCGGGCUUCACCAAAGUUUGGCCGACCUUUUGGUGUCUAUUAUUUGUGUUCCUGGCAAACUUUGCUAUCAAUUCUGUUCCCAUAUCCUCCGGCAUGUGAAAUCCCCCCUCAAGAGGCGAGCCAUUAGUGUUUGAUGUUGGCAUCAUCGUUGGAAUAUCUUCUGUGCUACUCUCUACACGAUGUUUCUUCUACAUGAUAGCACUUGACGUCUACAUGAUAGCACUUGAAGUCUACAUGAUGUUUCUUGUAUUCAUACCUCAAACCAUUUGUUUAGCUUAGUUUGAACAAAAAAUAUUAUUGUCUUACAUGUAAAUAAUGUUUACUAAUGUAGCUGGAUGCUACUGAAUGCAUGUACGAAAGUCAAAAUACUAAAGUGU